UUACGACCACAUCACGUUGAAACACGGGUUCACGUACGAUCAUCGAAGUUAAGCAACGUCGAGCCUGAUAAGUACUUAGAUGAGUGACCGCUUGGGAAACUCAGGUGGUGUAA
rnacentral:rRNA from 1 species